rnacentral:rRNA from 1 species
UACGGAGGGUGCAAGCGUUAUCCGGAUUUACUGGGUUUAAAGGGUGCGUAGGUGGGAAUGUAAGUCAGUGGUGAAAUCUCCGUGCUUAACAUGGAAACUGCCAUUGAUACUAUGUUUCUUGAAUCUUCCGGAGGUCAGCGGAAUAUGUCAUGUAGCGGUGAAAUGCUUAGAUAUGACAUAGAACACCAAUUGCGAAGGCAGCUGACUACAGGGGCAUUGACACUGAGGCACGAAAGCGUGGGGAUCAAACAGG